UACGUAGGGAGCAAGCGUUGUUCGGAUUUACUGGGCGUAAAGGGCGCGUAGGCGGCGCAACAAGUCACUUGUGAAAUCUCCGGGCUUAACCCGGAGCGGUCAAGUGAUACUGUCGUGCUAGAGUGCGGAAGGGGCUACUGGAAUUCUCGGUGUAGCGGUGAAAUGCGUAGAUAUCGGGAGGAACACCAGUGGCGAAGGCGACUACCUGGCCUGUUCUUGACGCUGAGGCGGCGAAA
rnacentral:rRNA from 1 species